UCGAGAAUCAUUCGCAAUGGGCGAAAGCCUGACCCAGCAACGCCGCGUGAAGGAUGAAGUAUUUCGGUAUGUAAACUUCGAAAGAAUAGGAAGAAUAAAUGACGGUACUAUUUAUAAGGUCCGGCUAACUACGUGCCAGCAGCCGCGGUAAUACGUAGGGACCAAGCGUUGUUCGGAUUUACUGGGCGUAAAGGGCGCGUAGGCGGCAAUUCAAGUCAUCUGUGAAAUCUCCGGGCUUAACUCGGAACGGUCAGAUGAUACUGCUUUGCUAGAGUGCAGAAGGGGCAAUCGGAAUUCUUGGUGUAGCGGUGAAAUGCGUAGAUAUCAAGAGGAACACCUGAGGUGAAGACGGGUUGCUGGGCUGACACUGACGCUGAGGCGCGAAAGCCAGGGGAGCAAACGGGAUUAGAUACCCUCGUAGUCCCUGAGCGGGCUGGCAAGGCGCAU
rnacentral:rRNA from 1 species